GAUUUCACUCAUUCGUGUAAAUUGCCCAACCCUUGAACACACAUUCAAGUGUACAUGCGAAGGUUUGUUACAUAGGUAAACACGUGUCACAGGGGUUUGCUGUACAUAUUAUUUCAUCAUCCAGGUAUUAAGCCCAGUACCCAGUAGUUCUCUUUUCCGCUCCUCUCCCUCCUCGCACCUUCCCUGGUCCCAGAGGUAAUACCAAACUUAUAAAAAGUCUUGUGAACAUAAUAUAUAUGCAAAAAAAUCUUAGAAGACAACUAACAAUAUGCAAAAUGGUACAGUAGGUACCUCAGAGAAACAAAAAUAUGGGUG
rnacentral:lncRNA from 1 species